CGCCCGGGUGCGUCAGCCUCCGGCCAGCACCUCGAGGGUCACGCCCUGUGUCGCACCAGCCGGUGCUGGGCUCUGCUAGCCUCUGAUCCCUUCGGAUGGAGAUUAUUGACCCCUCCUAGAGACGGCUUUUGAGCACGCACGGUGGCGCGUUACUUCCUGCCACGGGGCCUGGACGAGGGUUCUGGGCCCCUUCGCUGCGCCUGCUCUGCUCACAAACACCGUUGUGGCUCUGUACUUGGGAAAGCUUUUCAAUUAUUCAGAGAUUUUAAGAAACAUAAAAAGCUUAAAUCGGGCGUGGGGGUGCGCCCUUGUAGUCCCACCUAACUCGGAAGGCUGAGGCAGGAGGAUGUCACGAGCCCAACAGUUUCUUCUGAUCAAUCUAGAUAACAUAGUGAUAGUUUAAAAAAAAAUUCUGAGGGCUGAGGAUUUAGCUCAGUGGUUCUGCUGCUUGCCUCGCAAGCUCAAGGUCCAGAGUUCGAUCCCCGGUACCAAAAAAUAAAUACAUAGUCAUUUCAAUUAAAAAAAAAAAUUCUGAAGAUCUCUUUCCAGGAAGUGCUGGAUGAAGAAGUUUUCAGUAAAGAGAAAAUUAACUGAGACAUUAUCGUACAAUGAAAGCUAAAAUGACUAUGAGAAGACAUAGACCGGAGAGGGGAGAAGUUACACUAUGGAUUAACAAGAGUUUUUUGUUAGUAGAAGUUUGGAGUACAUGAUGUUUAUAUUCAUCUUAGAGAUCUUUCCAGAUCAUUUGUCACUUCCAUUCCUGCUGCUUUGGUUCUCCUAUGACCUGGGGACCUCUACGGAUUGCCUGAGAAUCAAUAGACUUCAGCAGAGCACCUCAAGAGCUCUGGAAGAAAUGAAGUCUGCACCAUGCCCUGUGCCUGUGACAGUACCGAAUGCAACAGUGCUUUGGAAUCAGUGGACGGAUGGUUUCCUGGCCAUCAAUGCAGGCAGCCAGACUCGAGGCUGUCUCCUCUAUUUUUCACCAGAGUCCUCAUGACCCAGCUUAUUGUUCUGAGCCUGUCUAGCUAUCAGUCAACACACUAGCCUGGCUAAUCCUUAAUGCUGAGUAUACUGGGAAAUUUGUUAUUUAUAGGACUAAAGCAG
rnacentral:lncRNA from 1 species